UACGAAGGGGGCUAGCGUUGUUCGGAAUCACUGGGCGUAAAGCGCACGCAGGCGGAUAGUUAAGUCGGGGGUGAAAGCCCGGGGCUCAACCUCGGAAUUGCCUUCGAUACUGUCGGUCUCGAGUCCGGGAGAGGUGAGUGGAAUUCCUAGUGUAGAGGUGAAAUUCGUAGAUAUUAGGAAGAACACCAGUGGCGAAGGCGGCUCAAUGGCCCGAUACUGACGCUCAGGUGCGAAAGCGUGGGGAGCAAACAGG
rnacentral:rRNA from 1 species